rnacentral:tmRNA from 1 species
GGGGGCGAAACGGAUUCGACGGGGAUAUAUAAGCUCGGGCUGCAAGUCGAGGUCUCUUCCCACCUCGUUAAUCAGGAAGAAACUAAAUAUAGUCGCAGACGACUAUGCAUACGCUGUGGCUGCGUAAAUAAAGCCAUUGCUCACCCGGUCGCUCCCGCGUACCGGGACGAGCAUCGUCAGCGGGAUAGCCUCCAUGCAUCUCCAGUGGGCACGGCGGCGAAACCAAACAGUGGAUAGUGCUGAAAACCCCUGGUUCCUGAGGGGUCGGGGCACGAUAAAUAACCAAAUCAUAAGGAACUAAGCUUGUAGAUGCCUGCAGGGGAGUAUUUUCGGACGCGGGUUCAACUCCCGCCGCCUCCACCA